UUCAGUAUCAUCCUCUUCAACACUUAAAACAGCAUCAUCAUUCUCAGCUUCAGAAACAGCUUUAGCUUAGAUGACAUUGUCAGAAUAUUUGUGGGCAGUAGUUGAACGCACAAAUAUUCGACGGGAGCUGAGACAACGUGGCUCAUAAUUUGGAAGUGUAGAAAACCAAAGUUAAAGAAAUACCAGCAAAUGUAAAUUUUCUUAAAUAUAAAUAAAAGUUAGACUUAUAACUU